rnacentral:rRNA from 1 species
AUACGAAGGGAGCUAGCGUUGUUCGGAAUCACUGGGCGUAAAGCGCACGUAGGCGGAUUUGUAAGUCAGGGGUGAAAUCCCGGGGCUCAACCUCGGAACUGCCUUUGAUACUACAGAUCUCGAGUCCGAUAGAGGUGGGUGGAAUUCCUAGUGUAGAGGUGAAAUUCGUAGAUAUUAGGAAGAACACCGGUGGCGAAGGCGGCCCACUGGAUCGGUACUGACGCUGAGGUGACGAAAGCGUGGGGAGC